CCCCUCCCGUUACAAAACCUCCCGUUCUCUCCAUUUUUAAAACGAAUGAAAGACACGUGUUAAGUGAAAGAUCUAAGGGCAGAAACCAAAGCCACCUCAAAACCCAAUUUUUCUCUCUCUCUCAACCAAACCUUUUAAGCAACCAUCUCCCUUGGUAAGCCUAUCGCACCACCGGCAACUUCCCAUGGCCGACCCACUGUCGCCCAUGCACCAAUGCCGUUGCUGUCCACUGCCAAGACUGUUUCAUCACUUUGAAGGAAGGCACCAGGUUAGACCUCAACAAAUUUCUCUCAGAUUGCUUCACCGCUUUCAAGGACAAUCCCCAGUUACCCAGUACCAAAAUUUCUUCAGGAUUUGUUUCCUCCCUCCACUAUUGGUGUAUAGGCGGCAGUGGGUCUGGCAUGGGAAGUUGCCGGUGGUCUGAUGGGCUUACUAAGGGAGAUGGGUUGCUUGAGAGGUUUGGUUGACAGAGAUAAAUUGGGUUUUUAGGUGGCUUCGUUUUCUGCCCUUAGAUCUUUCACUUAACACGUGUCUUUCAUCCAUUUAAAAAAUGGAGAGAACGGGAGGUUUUGUAACGGGAGGGGAGCCGGCCCCGAA